rnacentral:misc_RNA from 1 species
UCCCGCUUAUCACGGGCAGUUUCCUUAGAGUGCCCACCAUUACGUGCUGGUAACUAAGGACGAGGGUUGCGCUCGUUGCGGGACUUAACCCAACAUCUCACGACACGAGCUGACGACAGCCAUGCAACACCUGUCUGGAAUCCAGCCGAGCUGAAGAGGUCCAUCUCUGGUCCUCGCGAUUCCGAUGUCAAAAGGUGGUAAGGUUUUUCGCGUAGCAUCGAAUUAAACCACAUGCUCCACCGCUUGUGCGGGUCCCCGUCAAUUCCUUUGAGUUUUAAUCUUGCGACCGUACUCCCCAGGCGGGGUACUUAAUGCGUUAGCUACGACACUGAGCAAAAGCCCAAUAUCUAGUACCCAUCGUUUACGGCGUGGACUAC